rnacentral:lncRNA from 1 species
GUGAGGAAUAGCUGGAACAAGAUUGGCCAUGGGUUGAUAGUCGAAGCUGGGUGAUAUGAAGCACGGAGGCUCAUUGUUCAGGCUUAUAACAACUGCUCAAUUUACGACUUUUCGCCACAGUGGCUCUUGAAAAGUUAUACCGCUUUUUGGACAAUGACUCCCUUUCUGUUGGUAUAAUGGCUUUUCAUUCCAACAAACCCUAAAUAAAUACACCAUAAAAAGUGCUAUUUUAACAUUAUGGCUUUAGGCAAAGACACACUCACGGAUUCACUCAAUAAUACUUUUUAGUCAGAGAGUAUCACAUGGAACAAAUUUGAAUUGCCUGCCAUAUUUGGAUGAACCAAAACUGUUUCACUUUGCAAGCAUACGUCUAGAGAGAUGAAGAGAUAGUGUCACUGAUAACUCUUCAGUCUAUUUCAUGCAUGUGCUUUUUCCACAUUUAAAUGUUUUUCUCAAAAGGUGGUUUUCUAUGCCAUAACUUUAUUUAUUUAUUUAUUUUUUUAAGAUUUCCUUUUUCUCCCCAAAGCCCCCCGGUACAUAGUUGUGUAUUCUUCGUUGUGGGUUCUUCUAGUUGUGGCAUGUGGGACACUGCCUCAGCGUGGUCUGAUGAGCAGUGCCAUGUCCGCGCCCAGGAUUCGAACCAACGAAAUACUGGGCCGCCUGCAGCGGAGCACGCGAACUUAACCACUCGGCCACGGGGCCAGCCCCCAUAACUUUAUUUUUAAGUGCAGCUUGAGUGUAAGAUGAUCCUAAAGAUUGAAAAUCAGUGAAGAAAAUGGUGCAGAAAGAAGAUCGUACCUCCUAAAGAAGACUGUGCCCCACCACCUCGCUCCUUCCCCCCUUUACCCCCAUAAAAUCUUUUCUUCUUUGGGCCUGUGUUACUCAGUGAAGAUAAAGGUUUAAAAAUUCUAAAAUCCUUAGAAGAGACUUGUAUAAAGGAAACUGAAAAUGCCUGACUAUGGAGUCACCAAUUUAGAGACUAAAAGAAACUUUGGGUUUUCAGUGGCAAAGGGAGAAAGAGAAAGAAGGAUUUCAGCACGCCUGGAUGUGACCAACUUUUGUGGAGUCGAGUCAGUUGGCUUCAUUAUUCCCCUGCAACAUUUCCUUUGCACUCGUCGAUUUCCAUGGCUACAUGAUGAUUACUUCCUGAGAAACAAAGGAACACAUGUGUUUGGAAGUAAAAAGGAAGCAUACAGAUCACCUAUUGAACCACAGCCCUGUAAAACCUGGUAUAAAUGGAAACUUUUCUUUUUAUCAUAGAGUGUUUGAAGUAAAGGAAUUCACAUUAAUCAUUCCCUCAGUUUUUACUGUACAAUAGGUGUCCUUGUAAGGGGCCAGAUUGUGUCAGGCCUUAUAAACCAAAUAUAUGCCAA